GGAUACGCCAUUGUGCCUCUACAGCAACGCCUUUGCGGGAAAGGUGAGGUUUUCCUACAGCAGAGCCGUGAGCAGGUUGGCCCAGGAACAUUCCCGUCAACAAGAGUUCCUUUGACAGAGUAAGAUGGCAGAAGAAAUGUCUGCAAGUUGGAAAAUGAGCUUAAUGUGCUAAAUUGUUGCCGGAAUCCACAGAACCACCAGAGAACCACUCCGAAGACGCGUCCUGCUGAUUCCACGAGGAGGAGAUAACAGUUCUAUUGAUUCAAGUUAUUCUUACCUGGAGCUCCAUCUAAGUAUAGAAAAUGUGCCCAAAGCUGUCACAUCUUCACGGUAUUUUUACACCUUUAUAUAACGCACACCAUGAAAGAAGUCAUCCUACAGAUUUGCCUCUUGAAAUUUUUCACUGCUGAGAUUCUGAGGAAGUUCCUAACAUAACUAACCCCACACACAAUCCACACGGCAGCACCGAAAACUACAUAGAAUAAGUUGCUCCUUGAGUACAGGUAAGAUGAACAUUACUGCUACUGGAGUUGUUGGCAUCUGACAUAUAGUUAAAUUCCUAAAGCUGUUUUUAAACCUAGGAUGGACUUUUUGAUGGAGGAAAACAUGACAUUACAUUGCAUAAAAUUCUAGCUGCUUUUCCUACCCAGCUGACGUUGUUCUCCAAGAUUCCCGGCACUUUUACCAUUUGGCCUUUGGUGGCACAUGGACACUGGAGCCUAUUUUCAACAAUAUAUACGUCAAAAAAAAAAAAAGGGGGGGUUGCAUGCUUAAUGGUCACCCUAAAACCAAAUUCACAAAAUCAUAAGAACACAAAGCAGUCCCUGAAGAGUCUGCAUGUCAUGAGACUGUGUUCCAAGCAGCCUCACAGGGAGACAUUACUUUGGUGAAUUUUUCCACAGUGCAAAAUCCGGUCCAUGGCUUUGCACCCUCAGCAGCCCGAUCUAUCAGCAAAGUGGGAGGAAAUGCACACGCCGGAGGCGGGCUUAGAACUCAAAGAGCACAAAACGCUAAAGACUGCUGUCAAGAUCCAAAUAUGUUAAUUUACAACAAGAAGCAGAGUGUCAGAGCACAACACCCGUGGGGGCAAGCCAGCUCAUUCUCUUUCUGUAGACACACCUCCCGGAAGAGCCAGAUCAUAAUGGCAAGGUCACUUGGUGAUGAAAAAAUGGAACAGAAGUCUUACGUAACUCAAAUGGAAGGCCAGGAUUCAGAUUCCAGUUCCACCACUUCCUGAUUUACCCUGAUGUCUCACAGGAGGGAGCAGUGACCCCGCAGACUCACCUAGCAGCGAGGGGUCCACCCCCCACCCCCCACCCCCCACCCCUGCAGUGGCUUUGGCUGGGAACUGCAGGCUCACCUCCGUGGCUCAUCAGUCCCUCUGCUGAAUGACAGACGUUUCCUUUAGAUGUGUCCAUGUCUAACUCUGGGAGACAAACAGUUACCCUAAAGGAACCUCUGCCCUCUCUGCCAGUGCCAUUUAAAGGUGUCAUCGGAUUCGUUUCUUUUUUCUUCUUCUUAUUUAUUUGUAUCAUCAUUCUUCUUUUCUGUUCACGCCACCACCACCAGGCAAGUCUGGCCCCACAUCUCCCCAAGGCAGGAGCCUAACUGGCUUACGUCCCUCAAGCCUGUCUCAUUGUCCAACUCCAAAGAUCGCUACUACAUGCACACGUACUUCAGGUUAAGGUUCUAUACAUGUGUUUUCCC